rnacentral:rRNA from 1 species
UACGAGGGGGGCAAAUGUUGUUCGGAAUCACUGGGCGUAAAGGGAGCGUAGGCGGGUUUCUAAGUCAGGUGUUUAAUCCCGGGGCCCAACCCCGGACAGGCACUUGAAACUGGGAAUCUUGAAUAGUGGAGAGGUCAGUGGAAUUGGGGGUGUAGCGGUGGAAUGCGUAGAGAUCCCCAAGAACACCAGUUGCGAAGGCGGCUGACUGGACACAUAUUGACGCUGAGGAGCGAAAGCGUGGGGAGCAAACAGG